CCGAAGCUGCGGCAGCGACACUGUGUGUUGUUGGGUAGGGGAGCGUUCUGUAAGCCUGUGAAGGUGUGUCGUGAGGCAUGCUGGAGGUAUCAGAAGUGCGAAUGCUGACAUAAGUAACGAUAAAGCGGGUGAAAAGCCCGCUCGCCGGAAGACCAAGGGUUCCUGUCCAACGUUAAUCGGGGCAGGGUGAGUCGACCCCUAAGGCGAGGCCGAAAGGCGUAGUCGAUGGGAAACGGGUUAAUAUUCCCGUACUUGGUGUUACUGCGAAGGGGGGACGGAGAAGGCUAUGUUGGCCGGGCGACGGUUGUCCCGGUUUAAGCGUGUAGGUGUGUGUUCCAGGUAAAUCCGGUUCACUUUAACACUGAGGCGUGACGACGAGGCACUACGGUGCUGAAGCAACAAAUGCCCUGCUUCCAGGAAAAGCCUCUAAGCAUCAGGUAACAUCAAAUCGUACCCCAAACCGACACAGGUGGUCAGGUAGAGAAUACCAAGGCGCUUGAGAGAACUCGGGUGAAGGAACUAGGCAAAAUGGUGCCGUAACUUCGGGAGAAGGCACGCUGACACGUAGGUGAAGUGAUUUACUCAUGGAGCUGAAGUCAGUCGAAGAUACCAGCUGGCUGCAACUGUUUAUUAAAAACACAGCACUGUGCAAACACGAAAGUGGACGUAUACGGUGUGACGCCUGCCCGGUGCCGGAAGGUUAAUUGAUGGGGUCAGCGCAAGCGAAGCUCCUGAUCGAAGCCCCGGUAAACGGCGGCCGUAACUAUAACGGUCCUAAGGUAGCGAAAUUCCUUGUCGGGUAAGUUCCGACCUGCACGAAUGGCGUAAUGAUGGCCAGGCUGUCUCCACCCGAGACUCAGUGAAAUUGAACUCGCUGUGAAGAUGCAGUGUACCCGCGGCAAGACGGAAAGACCCCGUGAACCUUUACUAUAGCUUGACACUGAACAUUGAGCCUUGAUGUGUAGGAUAGGUGGGAGGCUUUGAAGUGUGGA
rnacentral:rRNA from 1 species